GACGAACGCUGGCGGCGUGCCUAAUACAUGCAAGUCGAACGAGAGCGACCGGUGCUUGCACUGGCCAAUCUAGUGGCGAACGGGUGAGUAACACGUGGGUAACCUGCCCAUCAGAGGGGGAUAACAUUCGGAAACGGAUGCUAAAACCGCAUAGGUCUUCGAACCGCAUGGUUUGAAGAGGAAAAGAGGCGCAAGCUUCUGCUGAUGGAUGGACCCGCGGUGCAUUAGCUAGUUGGUGAGGUAACGGCUCACCAAGGCCGUGAUGCAUAGCCGACCUGAGAGGGUGAUCGGCCACAUUGGGACUGAGACACGGCCCAAACUCCUACGGGAGGCAGCAGUAGGGAAUCUUCCGCAAUGGACGCAAGUCUGACGGAGCAACGCCGCGUGAGUGAAGAAGGUUUUCGGAUCGUAAAACUCUGUUGUUAGAGAAGAAUAAGUGCUAGAGUAACUGUUAGCGCCUUGACGGUAUCUAACCAGAAAGCCACGGCUAACUACGUG
rnacentral:rRNA from 1 species